GUCUGGAAAGGCGCGCGAUACAGGGUGACAGCCCCGUACACAAAAGCGCAUGUGCUGUGAGCUCGAUGAGUAGGGCGGGACACGUGGUAUCCUGUCUGAAUAUGGGGGGACCAUCCUCCAAGGCUAAAUACUCCUGACUGACCGAUAGUGAACCAGUACCGUGAGGGAAAGGCGAAAAGAACCCCGGCGAGGGGAGUGAAAAAGAACCUGAAACCGUGUACGUACAAGCAGUGGGAGCACAGGUUUACCUGUGUGACUGCGUACCUUUUGUAUAAUGGGUCAGCGACUUAUAUUCUGUAGCAAGGUUAACCGUAUAGGGGAGCCGUAGGGAAACCGAGUCUUAACCGGGCGUUAAGUUGCAGGGUAUAGACCCGAAACCCGGUGAUCUAGCCAUGGGCAGGUUGAAGGUUGGGUAACACUAACUGGAGGACCGAACCGACUAAUGUUGAAAAAUUAGCGGAUGACCUGUGGCUGGGGGUGAAAGGCCAAUCAAACCGGGAGAUAGCUGGUUCUCCCCGAAAGCUAUUUAGGUAGCGCCUCGUGAAUUCAUCUCCGGGGGUAGAGCACUGUUUCGGCUAGGGGGCCAUCCCGGCUUACCAACCCGAUGCAAACUGCGAAUACCGGAGAAUGUUAUCACGGGAGACACACGGCGGGUGCUAACGUCCGUCGUGAAGAGGGAAACAACCCAGACCGCCAGCUAAGGUCCCAAAGUCAUGGUUAAGUGGGAAACGAUGUGGGAAGGCCCAGACAGCCAGGAUGUUGGCUUAGAAGCAGCCAUCAUUUAAAGAAAGCGUAAUAGCUCACUGGUCGAGUCGGCCUGCGCGGAAGAUGUAACGGGGCUAAACCAUGCACCGAAGCUGCGGCAGCGACGCUGAUGCGUUGUUGGGUAGGGGAGCGUUCUGUAAGCCUGUGAAGGUGGCCUGUGAGGGUUGCUGGAGGUAUCAGAAGUGCGAAUGCUGACAUAAGUAACGAUAAAGCGGGUGAAAAGCCCGCUCGCCGGAAGACCAAGGGUUCCUGUCCAACGUUAAUCGGGGCAGGGUGAGUCGACCCCUAAGGCGAGGCCGAAAGGCGUAGUCGAUGGGAAACGGGUUAAUAUUCCCGUACUUGGUGUUACUGCGAAGGGGGGACGGAGAAGGCUAUGUUGGCCGGGCGACGGUUGUCCCGGUUUAAGCGUGUAGGUGUGUGUUCCAGGUAAAUCCGGUUCACUUUAACACUGAGGCGUGAUGACGAGGCACUACGGUGCUGAAGCAACAAAUGCCCUGCUUCCAGGAAAAGCCUCUAAGCAUCAGGUAACAUCAAAUCGUACCCCAAACCGACACAGGUGGUCAGGUAGAGAAUACCAAGGCGCUUGAGAGAACUCGGGUGAAGGAACUAGGCAAAAUGGUGCCGUAACUUCGGGAGAAGGCACGCUGACACGUAGGUGAAGUGAUUUACUCAUGGAGCUGAAGUCAGUCGAAGAUACCAGCUGGCUGCAACUGUUUAUUAAAAACACAGCACUGUGCAAACACGAAAGUGGACGUAUACGGUGUGACGCCUGCCCGGUGCCGGAAGGUUAAUUGAUGGGGUCAGCGCAAGCGAAGCUCCUGAUCGAAGCCCCGGUAAACGGCGGCCGUAACUAUAACGGUCCUAAGGUAGCGAAAUUCCUUGUCGGGUAAGUUCCGACCUGCACGAAUGGCGUAAUGAUGGCCAGGCUGUCUCCACCCGAGACUCAGUGAAAUUGAACUCGCUGUGAAGAUGCAGUGUACCCGCGGCAAGACGGAAAGACCCCGUGAACCUUUACUAUAGCUUGACACUGAACAUUGAGCCUUGAUGUGUAGGAUAGGUGGGAGGCUUUGAAGCGUGGACGCCAGUCUGCAUGGAGCCGGCCUUGAAAUACCACCCUUUAAUGUUUGAUGUUCUAACGUGGACCCGUGAUCCGGGUUGCGGACAGUGUCUGGUGGGUAGUUUGACUGGGGCGGUCUCCUCCUAAAGAGUAACGGAGGAGCACGAAGGUUGGCUAAUCCUGGUCGGACAUCAGGAGGUUAGUGCAAUGGCAUAAGCCAGCUUGACUGCGAGCGUGACGGCGCGAGCAGGUGCGAAAGCAGGUCAUAGUGAUCCGGUGGUUCUGAAUGGAAGGGCCAUCGCUCAACGGAUAAAAGGUACUCCGGGGAUAACAGGCUGAUACCGCCCAAGAGUUCAUAUCGACGGCGGUGUUUGGCACCUCGAUGUCGGCUCAUCACAUCCUGGGGCUGAAGUAGGUCCCAAGGGUAUGGCUGUUCGCCAUUUAAAGUGGUACGCGAGCUGGGUUUAGAACGUCGUGAGACAGUUCGGUCCCUAUCUGCCGUGGGCGCUGGAGAACUGAGGGGGGCUGCUCCUAGUACGAGAGGACCGGAGUGGACGCAUCACUGGUGUUCGGGUUGUCAUGCCAAUGGCACUGCCCGGUAGCUAAAUGCGGAAGAGAUAAGUGCUGAAAGCAUCUAAGCACGAAACUUGCCCCGAGAUGAGUUCUCCCUGAGACUUAGAGUCUCCUGAAGGAACGUUGAAGACGACGACGUUGAUAGGCCGGGUGUGUAAGCGCAGCGAUGCGUUGAGCUAACCGGUACUAAUGAACCGUGAGGCUUAACCUU
rnacentral:rRNA from 1 species